rnacentral:rRNA from 1 species
UUAAGUUGUUUGAAAUCCCCGGGCUCAACCUGGGAAUGCAAUGGAUACUGGAUAGCUAGAGUGUGAUAGAGGAUGGUGGAAUUCCCGGUGUAGCGGUGAAAUGCGUAGAGAUCGGGAGGAACAUCAGUGGCGAAGGCGGCCAUCUGGAUCAACAUGACGUGAGGCACGAAAGCGUGGGGAGCAAACAGGAUUAGAUACCCUGGUAGUCACGCCCUAAACGAUGCGAACUGGAUGUUGGUCUCAACUCGGAGAUCAGUGUCGAAGCUAACGCGUUAAGUUCGCCGCCUGGGGAGUACGGUCGCAAGACUGAAACUCAAAGGAAUUGACGGGGGCCCGCACAAGCGGUGGAGUAUGUGGUUUAAUUCGAUGCAACGCGAAGAACCUUACCUGGCCUUGAAGUUGGAAUCCUGCACAGAUGCG